rnacentral:rRNA from 2 species
AAACGACUCUCGGCAACGGAUAUCUCGGCUCUCGCAUCGAUGAAGAACGUAGCGAAAUGCGAUACUUGGUGUGAAUUGCAGAAUCCCGUGAACCAUCGAGUCUUUGAACGCAAGUUGCGCCCCAAGCCUUUUGGCCGAGGGCACGUCUGCCUGG